CGUAGGUAACCUGCCUUGUAGCGGGGGAGUAACUAUUGGAAACGAUAGCUAAUACCGCAUAACAAUGGAUGACACAUGUCAUUUAUUUUGAAAGGGGCAAUUGCUCCACUACAAGAUGGACCUGCGUUGUAUUAGCUAGUAGGUGAGGUAACGGCUCACCUAGGCGACGAUACAUAGCCGACCUGAGAGGGUGAUCGGCCACACUGGGACUGAGACACGGCCCAGACUCCUACGGGAGGCAGCAUG
rnacentral:rRNA from 1 species